UACGUAGGGGGCUAGCGUUGUCCGGAAUCAUUGGGCGUAAAGCGCGUGUAGGCGGUCCGGUAAGUCCGCUGUGAAAGUCGGGGGGCUCAACCCUCGGAUGCCGGUGGAUACUGUCGGGCUAGAGUGCGGAAGAGGCGAGUGGAAUUCCUGGUGUAGCGGUGAAAUGCGCAGAUAUCAGGAGGAACACCGAUUGCGAAGGCAGCUCGCUGGGACGUCACUGACGCUGAGAACGCGAAAGCGUGGGGAGCAAACAGG
rnacentral:rRNA from 1 species